UACGUAGGGUGCGAGCGUUGUCCGGAAUUACUGGGCGUAAAGAGCUCGUAGGUGGUUUGUCGCGUUGUUCGUGAAAACUCACAGCUUAACUGUGGGCGUGCGGGCGAUACGGGCAGACUGGAGUACUGCAGGGGAGACUGGAAUUCCUGGUGUAGCGGUGGAAUGCGCAGAUAUCAGGAGGAACACCGGUGGCGAAGGCGGGUCUCUGGGACGGUACUGACGCUGAGACGCGAAAGCGUGGGGAGCGAACAGG
rnacentral:rRNA from 1 species